CGUGAGGUCAUAAAAAGGACAGCACCUCCCUCCCUUGGAUCACUGGUUCUGGAAGAAGCCCCCUCCAUGUCGGGAGGAAAAGGCCUGUGCAGCAAGGAACUGAGCCUCCCCCCGGUAGUCAUGCUGGAAGGAAAUCCUCCAACCUCAGCCGAGCCUUCAGAUUAACGGCAGCCCCAACAACACCUGGCUGCAACUUCAUGAGAAGUCCAAGCCAGAACCGACAGUCAGGCCUCUCCUACGUUCUUGACCUCCAGGAACGGGUUCGAGAAACUACAGGAGCCUUUUCUUCAGGGCUCCCUUGGCAGCAACUGCACAGAUCCACCUGAACUCAACCACGAGGAAAAGGGAGCAGGGGGAGUCAUGCUUUGUCUGAUUUCACUCUCCCUCUAAAGGGAGGAGUGAUUAAAAGCUUCCGUCUUCUUCUUUUC